rnacentral:rRNA from 1 species
AGAGUUUGAUCCUGGCUCAGGAUGAACGCUGGCGGUGUGGAUAAGGCAUGCAAGUCGAGCGCUCCGCCAAAAUUUUCGCAAGAAAAUUUAGGCGGACAGCGGCGAACGGGUUAGUAAUACCUUGGUACAUACCCUGAAGUGGGGCAUAGUCCGCCGAAAGGCGGAGUAAUUCCCCAUAGGCUCCGACCUCGGUCGGAGUAAAGACGCAAGUCGCUUCAGGACUGGCCUAGGUCCGAUCAGCUAGUUGGUAGGGUAAAGGCCUACCAAGGCGAUGACCGGUAGGGGGGCUGAGAGGCUGUUCCCCAACAACGCAACUGAGAACGGUGCGUACGCCUACGGGCGGCAGCAGUCGAGAAUAUUCCACAAUGGGCGAAAGCCUGAUGGAGCGACGCCGCGUGCAGGAUGAAGGUCUUCGGAUUGUAGACUGCUUUUCUACAGGAGAAAACCCUGAGUUUAUCGAAGGGUUGAUAGUACUGUAGGAAUAAGGGGCGACAAACUACGUGCCAGCAGUAGCGGUAAUACGUAGGCCCCAAGCGUUAUCCGGAUUUAUUGGGCGUAAAGAGUGCGUAGGAGGUUUGACGCGUUAACUGUUAAAUUUCACCGCUCAACGGUGAAACCGCGGUUAAAACGGUCAGACUAGAGGACGUCAGAGGUCAUUGGAACGUACGGUGUAGGGGUGAAAUCCAUUGAUAUCGUACGGAACACCAAAGGCGAAGGCAAAUGACUGGGGCGUUCCUGACUCUGAGGCACGAAAGCGUGGGGAGCAAAAAGGAUUAGAUACCCUGGUAGUCC